rnacentral:rRNA from 1 species
CUAGCCAGUGAUGGCAUGCGAAUCUCGAAAGCCUAUCUCAGUUCGGAUUGGAGGCUGAAACCCGCCUCCAUGAAGUUGGAUUCGCUAGUAAUCGCGCAUCAGCCAUGGCGCGGUGAAUACGUUCCCGGGCCUUGUACACACCGCCCGUCAAGCCAUGGGAGCCGGGGGUGCCUGAAGUUCGUUACCGCAAGGAUCGACCUAGGGCAAAACUGGUGACUGGGGCUAAGUCGUAACAAGGUAAC